rnacentral:rRNA from 1 species
AUUGAACGCUGGCGGCAUGCCUAACACAUGCAAGUCGAACGAGUGGCGGACGGGUGAGUAAUGUCUGGGAAACUGCCCGCUGGAGGGGGAUAACUACUCGAAACGGUAGCUAAUACCGCAUACCCUCAGAUGUGCCCAGAUGGGUUUAGCUUGUUGGUGGGGUAAAGGCUCACCAAGGCGACGAUCCCUAGCUGGUCUGAGAGGAUGACAAGCCACACUGGGACUGAGACACGGUCCAGAAUCCUACGGGAGGCAGCAGUGGGGAAUAUUGCACAAUGGGGGCAAGCCUGAUGCGGCCAUGCCGCGUGUAUGAAGAAGGCCUUCGGGUUGUAAAGUACUUUCAGCGGGGAGGCGUUACCCGCAGAAGAAGCACCGGCUAACUACGUGCCAGCAGCCGCGGUAAUAC